rnacentral:rRNA from 1 species
AUUGAACGCUGGCGGCAGGCCUAACACAUGCAAGUCGAGCGGAUGAAGGGAGCUUGCUCCUGGAUUCAGCGGCGGACGGGUGAGUAAUGCCUAGGAAUCUGCCUGGUAGUGGGGAUAACGUCCGGAAACGGGCGCUAAUACCGCAUACGUCCUGAGGGAGAAAGUGGGGGAUCUUCGGACCUCACGCUAUCAGAUGAGCCUAGGUCGGAUUAGCUAGUUGGUGGGGUAAAGGCCUACCAAGGCGACGAUCCGUAACUGGUCUGAGAGGAUGAUCAGUCACACUGGAACUGAGACCCGGUCCAAACUCCUACGGGAGGCAGGAGUGGGGAAUAUUGGAAAAUGGGCGAAAGCCUGAUCCAGCCAGGCCGGGUGUGUGAAGAAGGUCUUCGGAUUGUAAAGCACUUUAAGUUGGGAGGAAGGGCAGUAAGUUAAUACCUUGCUGUUUUGACGUUACCAAAAGAAUAAGCACCGGCUAACUUCGU